UGGGGAAUAUUGCACAAUGGGCGCAAGCCUGAUGCAGCCAUGCCGCGUGUGUGAAGAAGGCCUUCGGGUUGUAAAGCACUUUCAGCGGGGAGGAAGGCGAUAAGGUUAAUAACCUUGUCGAUUGACGUUACCCGCAGAAGAAGCACCGGCUAACUCCGUGCCAGCAGCCGCGGUAAUACGGAGGGUGCAAGCGUUAAUCGGAAUUACUGGGCGUAAAGCGCACGCAGGCGGUUUGUUAAGUCAGAUGUGAAAUCCCCGGGCUCAACCUGGGAACUGCAUCUGAUACUGGCAAGCUUGAGUCUCGUAGAGGGGGGUAGAAUUCCAGGUGUAGCGGUGAAAUGCGUAGAGAUCUGGAGGAAUACCGGUGGCGAAGGCGGCCCCCUGGGCGAAGACUGACGCUCAGGUGCGAAAGCGUGGGGAGCAAACAGG
rnacentral:rRNA from 1 species